rnacentral:rRNA from 1 species
GACGAACGCUGGCGGCGUGCUUAACACAUGCAAGUCGAACGGAAAGGCCCUGCUUGCAGGGUACUCGAGUGGCGAACGGGUGAGUAACACGUGGGUGAUCUGCCCUGCACUUCGGGAUAAGCCUGGGAAACUGGGUCUAAUACCGGAUAGGAGCCAUUUUUAGUGUGAUGGUUGGAAAGUUUUUUCGGUGUAGGAUGAGCUCGCGGCCUAUCAGCUUGUUGGUGGGGUAAUGGCCCACCAAGGCGGCGACGGGUAGCCGGCCUGAGAGGGUGGACGGCCACAUUGGGACUGAGAUACGGCCCAGACUCCUACGGGAGGCAGCAGUGGGGAAUAUUGCACAAUGGGCGCAAGCCUGAUGCAGCGACGCCGCGGGGGGGAUGACGGCCUUCGGGUUGUAAACUCAUUUCGCUAGGGACGAAGCUGUUUGUGACGGUACCUAGAUAAGAAGCACCGGCUAACUACGUG